UUCAAAUUUUAGUCCAAUCUAUAUGGCCCUCUACAGGUAUUUAACUCGAGGAAGUUUGACAUUAUUUUAUCGUCCUGCUCAAUGUUGUAAAUAAGCCCCAUAUACAUCAUUGCCAUGGCCAGUUUAUUAUCCCAAUGUCUACCUGCUCUGGUACACACAGGUAAUUAGUCUGGUUAAAUUAAAUCACAACUCUGAUUACGUCAGCCUGCUUUUCUCUUAACUGGUCCCCUAUUGUGACAGCUUCUCGGACUUCUCCCAAGACCAGUUAAUAUAAACCCGGGACAGGGGACAAGUUGAAAAUGGAUUAAAGCAAAUUUUUGCCAGAAACGAUAACGACUGAUUUUAUCAUGAUGAGGAUAUUAAAGGAGAUUCUUACAGCUUCAUCCGCACCCAGAAACACACGUGAGAAGAAAAUGCCUUACCUGUCUUCCGUCUGUUAAUCAGCACAUGAAAAAGACAGAGAAAACUUAUUAACGAUGUGUCAAGGAAUAACUCUGUAGGUUAUCAAUUGAGAUACUUUGUCUGCAUGUUUAAAUACUUGAAUAAAGAAAAUCUGUACACAAACCUGUCGCCAUCUUCUUAUCCGCCAAAGAUGUCAAAUGUGACUUCCGGUUCUAAGGGGGAUAACUCGAAAUACGUUCCAGAAAGAUGAAGAAUCAAAGUACUGAUAGUACUGAUAGACGGUGACGUAAAAAUACCGAGAUUGCAACUGCCUGAAUGCAUUAUAUAUGGCGAUUCAGUUUAUAAUAAUAAUUCAGUAAUGGUAAAACACAAUACACGGGUUCAUAGAUAGUUUAUAUUAAAUCCAAAAGAAGAAACAUACAUACCACAGGAACCUGCGCUCUUAUCUUACAAAACUUUUAUUUGUGUGCAUCACUUAUAUAUAUAAAUAUAGAAACAGGUAGAUAUUGUAAUAUCCUGUCAUUCCUAGAGAAAACAGAUUUUGCUACUAUUGUAAGACCAGUGUUGAAGAUGAAAAACAUUUUUUUACUUGCUUGUCCUUUAUACAAACACAUAAGAAAAAAGUAUUCAAAAACAUCAUAUGAUUAUCCUGUAUCUUGUUUAUACUGAAUCCUCUUAAUAUUGCAUCUACAAAAGAAAUUUGUUUAUAUAUAUCAGAGACUCCUCAUACUUUAGAAACUGUUGUUACAAUUAUGAUACCAUGUAACAUAAUAUGUGUGUGUGUGUGUGUGUGUGUGUGUGUGUGUGUGUGUGUGUGUGUGUGUGUGUGUGUGUGUGUGUGUGUGUGUAUCUUAUAUUGCAUGGCUAACAACACUUGUAUGUGCUUUAGUGCCAAUAAAGAAAUGAAUGGAAUUGAAUAUAUAUACAUGUAGUUUUAAAAUGCAGUUUCCAACAUUAAAUUGUAAAUGAGCAAUUUGUUUUCUCAAGACAGAAUAAAAGGAACAUGAAACACA